rnacentral:rRNA from 1 species
UACGAAGGGGGCUAGCGUUGCUCGGAUUGACUGGGCGUAAAGGGCGCGUAGGCGGUUCGUACAGUCAGACGUGAAAUUCCUGGGCUCAACCUGGGGGCUGCGUUUGAUACGUGCGGGCUUGAGUUCGGAAGAGGGUCGUGGAAUUCCCAGUGUAGAGGUGAAAUUCGUAGAUAUUGGGAAGAACACCGGUGGCGAAGGCGGCUCUCUGGGACGGUACUGACGCUGAGACGCGAAAGCGUGGGGAGCGAACAGG